rnacentral:rRNA from 1 species
GGACUACAGGGGUAUCUAAUCCCGUUCGCUCCCCUAGCUGUCGCCUCUCAGCGUCAGGUACCACCCAGGACACUGCCUUCGCCUUUGGUGUUCUUCCGGAUCUCUACGCAUUUCACCACUCCACCCGGAGUUCCGUGUCCCUCUGUGGCCCUCAAGUCUGCCCGUUUCCGUACUCCUCGACUCGGUAAGCGAGUCGCUGUCGGCACGGACGCCGCAGACCGCCUGCGUGCGCUUUACGCCCAGUAACUCCGGACAACGCUCGCUCCCUACGUAUUACCGCGGCUGCUGGCAC